rnacentral:rRNA from 1 species
AGGGAAUCUUGCGCAAUGGGCGAAAGCCUGACGCAGCCAUGCCGCGUGAAUGAUGAAGGUCUUAGGAUUGUAAAAUUCUUUCACCGGGGACGAUAAUGACGGUACCCGGAGAAGAAGCCCCGGCUAACUUCGUGCCAGCAGCCGCGGUAAUACGAAGGGGGCUAGCGUUGCUCGGAAUUACUGGGCGUAAAGGGCGCGUAGGCGGACAGUUUAGUCAGAGGUGAAAGCCCAGGGCUCAACCUUGGAAUUGCCUUUGAUACUGGCUGUCUUGAGUUCGGGAGAGGUGAGUGGAAUGCCGAGUGUAGAGGUGAAAUUCGUAGAUAUUCGGCGGAACACCAGUGGCGAAGGCGACUCACUGGCCCGAUACUGACGCUGAGGCGCGAAAGCGUGGGGAGCAAACAGGAUUAGAUACCCUGGUAGUCCACGCCGUAAACGAUGAGUGCUAGUUGUCGGCAUGCAUGCAUGUCGGUGACGCAGCUAACGCAUUAAGCACUCCGCCUGGGGAGUACGGUCGCAAGAUUA